rnacentral:lncRNA from 1 species
AAGACCUAAAACCGAAAAGGGCCGCCAUGUCUAAAAGAGUAGGGGUCAUAGGGCCGAGGCCGAAGGCAAAGGUAUUAGAGGUGCUAUCCCAAAAACAUAAAGCAGCCCCCAGCAAGAGAGGGAUUUAGGUCAAUCCAAUUUUUUGACAGCAAAAAGGCAUAAUAAAUCCCAUUUUGCAUCCACUUGUCCUUCAAUAGGGGCAACAUUUCAUCCACACAGCUAGCCCAAGAGAGAUAGUCCUCAGUGACAGGCACAUCAAGGCUCG